GAUGAACGCUGGCGGCGUGCCUAAUACAUGCAAGUCGAGCGAACGGACGAGAAGCUUGCUUCUCUGAUGUUAGCGGCGGACGGGUGAGUAACACGUGGAUAACCUACCUAUAAGACUGGGAUAACUUCGGGAAACCGGAGCUAAUACCGGAUAAUAUUUUGAACCGCAUGGUUCAAAAGUGAAAGACGGUCUUGCUGUCACUUAUAGAUGGAUCCGCGCUGCAUUAGCUAGUUGGUAAGGUAACGGCUUACCAAGGCAACGAUGCAUAGCCGACCUGAGAGGGUGAUCGGCCAAACUGGAACUGAGACACGGUCCAGACUCCUACGGGAGGCAGCAGUAGGGAAUCUUCCGCAAUGGGCGAAAGCCCGACGGAGCAACGCCGCGUGAGUGAUGAAGGUCUUCGGAUCGUAAAACUCUGUUAUUAGGGAAGAACAUAUGUGUAAGUAACUGUGCACAUCUUGACGGUACCUAAUCAGAAAGCCACGGCUAACUACGUG
rnacentral:rRNA from 1 species